GAAAUUUAAUAUUUAUUAUUUUUAUUAAUUUUUGUAUUUUUAUAGAAAUAACUUAUAUUUUAGUAUAGUUUAUUGAAAUAAUUAUUUUAUUUAUAGUUUAAAGUACUGUGAGGGAAUAUUUAAAGUUAAGUGGAAGUAGCUUUGUUUUAGUGUACCUUUUGUAUCAGGGUCAAUUAAAUUGUAUCAUUUAUAUGAGUAUCCCGAAAUUGGAGGAGCUAGGGUCUAAAUGUUAGUUAACGUGUCAAAGUUAUUAAUUAUUUGGUUCUAGUAAUGAAACGUUAUUCGUCUUUAAAUAUCUGGUUUUCAAAGAAUUGAAUUUAAUUCAUGCUUAGUUUUUUAUUAAUAUAAUUUUAAUUUAUUUUAAUGGAUUAAGUUAAUAGUUUUGGGGAUAAGCUCAGGAUUAAUAUUAUAAGUUUAAUUUUAAUUAAAGUUUGGUAGGCUUGGAAUCAGCCAUCAUUUAUUUCGUUGUAGAUUACUUUUAGUUAUCUUUUAUUUAUUUGUUUUUAGUUUUUUAUUUGAAUGCUUGAGUUAAUUAUUAACUUAAGGUAAUAAUGAUUGAAUUAGUAUUGUUGUUAAUUAAAUUGUAAGAAUUCGGCAUGUUUGAUUCUCGCCUGUUUAACAAAAACAUGUCCUUUUGUUUAUUUAUAUAAGGUCUGACCUGCUCAAUGAUUUUAUUAAAUAGCCGCAGUAUUUUGACUGUGCUAAGGUAGCAUAAUCAUUUGUCUCUUAAUUGGGGGCUGGAAUGAAGGGUUGGACGAGGUAUUUACUUUUUUCAGUUUAUUUUCAUGAAUUUAAUUUUUUAGUUAAAAAGCUUAAAUGUGUUUAGGGGACGAGAAGACCCUGUAGAUCUUUAUAAUAUGUCUAGUUUAUUAAUUUAGUGAGUUGAUUUAUAUAAAUUGUAUGUUUUAUUUGAUUGGGGUGAUUGCAGUAUUUAAUUAACUUCUGUUUAUAUAUUGUCAUUAAUUAGUGUUUUUUUGAUCCAUUUGUAGUGAUUAAAAGAUUAAGUUACCUCAGGGAUAACAGCGUAAUUUUUUCGGAGAGUUCUUAUCGAUGAAGGAGUUUGCGACCUCGAUGUUGGAUUAAAAUAAGUAGUAAGUGUAGCAGCUUAUUUACUAGGUCUGUUCGACCUUUGAAUUUUUACAUGAUCUGAGUUCAGACCGGCGUGAGCCAGGUCGGUUUCUAUCUCUAAUUAAUUACCAUGUCUUAGUACGAAAGGAUCAGGCAUGGGGAAUAGUUCCGUUUAUUUGAUUAAAAGUACUA
rnacentral:rRNA from 1 species